rnacentral:rRNA from 1 species
GACGAACGCUGGCGGCGUGCCUAAUACAUGCAAGUAGAACGCUGAAGGAGGAGCUUGCUCUUCUGGAUGAGUUGCGAACGGGUGAGUAACGCGUAGGUAACCUGCCUGGUAGCGGGGGAUAACUAUUGGAAACGAUAGCUAAUACCGCAUAAGAGUAGAUGUUGCAUGACAUUUGCUUAAAAGGUGCAAUUGCAUCACUACCAGAUGGACCUGCGUUGUAUUAGCUAGUUGGUGGGGUAACGGCUCACCAAGGCGACGAUACAUAGCCGACCUGAGAGGGUGAUCGGCCACACUGGGACUGAGACACGGCCCAGACUCCUACGGGAGGCAGCAGUAGGGAAUCGUCGGCAAUGGACGGAAGUCUGACCGAGCAACGCCGCGUGAGUGAAGAAGGUUUUCGGAUCGUAAAGCUCUGUUGUAAGAGAAGAACGAGUGUGAGAGUGGAAAGUUCACACUGUGACGGUAUCUUACCAGAAAGGGACGGCUAACUACGUG